rnacentral:rRNA from 1 species
UACGUAGGGGGCGAGCGUUGUCCGGAUUUAUUGGGCGUAAAGAGCGUGUAGGCGGCCAGGUAGGUCCGUUGUGAAAACUCGAGGCUCAACCUCGAGACGUCGGCGGAAACCAUCUGGCUAGAGUCCGGAAGAGGAGAGUGGAAUUCCUGGUGUAGCGGUGAAAUGCGCAGAUAUCAGGAGGAACACCGGUGGCGAAGGCGGGUCUCUGGGCAGUAACUGACGCUGAGAAGCGAAAGCGUGGGGAGCGAACAGG